rnacentral:lncRNA from 1 species
CCCAGGCAGGGCUGGAGUAGGGCCGGGCCGCUCCGAGGGAGCAGGGAGGCAGCUGGGCCUGCAGCCAGUCCUCCGCAGACCUGCAGAGGGCCCAUCUGCCUGGACCUGGGCGCCUCCCCCGGAAUCUGCCCACAGCUCUGCUUCUUGCACAGCCGGCGGAUGAGUGGUGCGCGGGCAGGUCCGUGCCUGGGCAGAUGCAGGGCAGGACCGGGGCUGAGAGCUGAGGUCGCCGGACUCACUGCGUGCUUGAGAAACCCCAGGAGUAAAGGCUAAGGCCUCGGAGGCCCCAGUGAAAAGGCGCGGCUAUUAAACGCGGUUACCAGUGAAUCCCAGGUCGCAGACCCACUGACAUCCACCGGGAGGCUCGGCCUGUUACAGAGCUAGAGUCUGUGCACGCCCUACCGAGGUCCUGAGUCAUGCAGAAGAUGUCGAAUCACCCUGCUACAGACAGGCAGGUCUGCCCACACCCUGUCUAGGUCCCCAGUAACGUGGAACACACACCGAAUCAGCCCGCUGCAGACAGGAAGGUCUGUGCAUGCCCUACCGAGGUCCUGAGUCACGCGGAAGACAUUGAAUCAUCCCACUGCAGACAGGCAGCCACCUGAUUCCACAUUACCAAGGUGCAGAGGACACCAGACCACCAGACCAAGAUUCUGCAAACUCCAGCGUCCCUGAGAGAGCGAGGGGAGGUCACCAGAGUGAGGCCUGGGGGCCUGCAGGGCCCCACUGAAGGAGUUGGUGCAGCCAGGCCCAGGGUCCCAGCAGCUGCCCGAGAACUGUUACAUCUACUGCAUGAAGCUGGCCAGUACCGAGUUAUGCCGAGUUACCAGGCUGGAUUCAAACUCUGGUGUCCUCCUGCCCUGGCCUCCUGAGUACCUGGGACCACAGGUGUUUACCACCUGCUACAGUGUAGAUUAAGAAUGACCCCAACUCUCCUGUGGUCACACAUGGGCCUUUCGGAAGGCCCUUCUGCCAUGCCCUUCUGUGUGGGAGCUUGUCAACCAAACUGCAAAUGUGAGCCAAAAUAAACCUCUCCUCCUUUAAGUUAAGCAAGGUGCCAUGUUGUGAACCACCAGAUGGAGACAGUCAUACAGAAAGGAGCCUAGGGUGACCUUCAGCCAACAACCGGGCAAGAAUUCAGUCCCUCAGCUUGGCAGCAUGUAAGGAAUUGAAAGCUGCCAACAGCCUGAGGAAGCUCUUACCUCAAAUGUUCUCACAGUCCCAGUCAAUAUUUCAAUCCAGAUAGAAAUGAGCAGAAGAAAAGCAGAUGGAAGAAAAACAGGAGUGAAAGAAGAAGAAAGAAUGAUAUGGUGAAAAAUAGAAAAAAGGUUCUCCAAACUUGGAUACCCCUGAAAUGUUACUGGAACCCUCUGCAGUAAGCUCCAGUGUCCUGCCCAGUAUACGACACAGGCCUAAGAAAAGUACUAAAGGAUAGAACUAAGAGAGGAAGAAAGUGAGAUGCUAGGAUGACCAAUGCUAGUGCAACCUGCAACUGAUAAAGGUGCUGGCCAGUCAAAGCUACUGAUUUCUAUUAAUAAUCAAUUGGAAUAAAGGCAAUCUACAUGUAAGGAUGGCACUACAUGUGAGGAUGUGCAAUUAUAUGGUUUCUAUGGAAAUUAAUGUAAGCAGGACUCAUAAAAGACAAGACAAAGCAUUUUCAAAUUAGGAACAGAAUAGAAAAAAUAUAUGGUUGUAAUUAGAACAUUGUCCUUCUAGUUAAAAAGGAUUUAGUUAUGGGAACAAAAUUUGGGUGCAAGUUACUCUGACCUCGACAUGUAGGCUUCGGCCAGACUCACUUCUAUAAACAAGCCAAUUGUGGGGUUAACUCUUCACAGCCUGCACUGCUUACAGCCUGCUUUGGGGCAUAAUCAAUACUGUAGUCUCCUGCACUCCAGACUUGCUUCUAAUCUCUUCCUUUUCUAUUCUUGUACUUUUUCCCGAACACCUUUUACGUUUUCUCCUUUGAGGGUAAAAAUCACCAUAUUGAGGAGAUAUUUACUAUAUACAAUUUUCUGGUCUGUUUUAAAUUUUGUUAUAUAUCUACAAAUCUUUGUAUACUUAAAGAUGGCAAAUUAAUAGUUACCAGAGUUUGUGAUUUUCUAGCCUGUAUUUAAUGUUAUUUUUAUUACUGAUUGUACUACUUUAGCUAAGGUGACAUAACUGUUCUAAUCAAUUGCUCCUCCUUGUAGGCCAAGACUGAGAUGGCCUGAGGGUCAUAAAUAAUACUAUAGGCCAGAGCUAAAGAACCAGGGGGUAGGCCAAAUUAGGUAGCAACUUUUAAUCCCCAAUAAAUUGAAGAGGUUGGAUCUUGCAACAGACUCAAAACCCAGAAGACAGCUACAAGCGGAAGACAUCUUUGAGAAGUAGUCAUAUCCUAAGGGUUCCUGAACUAGCAAUAACGCUAACUAUCAUAAUCCAUUAACAAGCAUCAAUGCAGGAAAUGAACUGAAAAAUAUAGAAAAUGAAAAGACAUAGGAGGAAAAUGCAAGCCCAGACUUCUAGCUCACCAAAGGCAAACCCAAGGAGGCAAUGAGGUGGAACAAUUCGAAAGCCACCCACCUGGACUCUCUGUAGCAGUGGAAAUAACAAAACAAAUGUUGAGGAUCUAGAAAAAAUAAAAUCAAAGGUAAUUUCUCAGAUAACUACUGAGAUGAUGAUCCUAGUGAAGAAUAUAGUUAGUGAAUCUAGAGCAGAUAAGGAUAAAAAAUAGAAAGCUUAGGAAAAUGAUGGAAAACAUGAACAUCCAAGAUAAAAAAGAAAUGGCAUCCAUGAAACAGAUACAAAUACAAAUCCAAGAAAUUAAAAAUUUUAUUGAAAGCGUACAUAGCAGAAUGAACUGAUGUGAGGGCAGAAUAUUGGAUCAAGAAGACAGAAUUGCAGUUAGUGAUCAGGAAAAAAGAAGAUUUAUUAUAAACAGCAAGGAACCCCAAAAUAUUAACCCAACAGAUGCUAGAUGAUGCAAAAAAGAAAAACGUAAGAUUGAUCAGACUCAAUGAAAAAUCAAUAGAUAGCAAAUAUGACAUAAAAAUAAAUUUGUUCACAGAAGUAAUGGCAGAAAACUUUCAAACCAUGGAAAAAGAAUUUGACAAAUAAUUGAAGCAUAUAGAACUCCAAUCAGCCAUGAUGAAAAAAAUUACACCAAGGCGUAUGAUAGUCAAGAUUCCAGAAAUUCAACACAAGAACAGAAUAUGAAAAGCUGUUAGAGAAAAUAAACAAAUCACCUAUAAUGGAAAGACCAUCAGAAUCACAGACUUCCCAGCACAAAUCAUAAAGUCAAGGAGAGCUUUGAGUAAAAUAUUUUAAGUCCUAAAAGAAAACAACCUCCAACCCAGAUCAAUGUACCUCAAAAAAUUAUCUUUCAAAAUUGAUGGAAAAAUAAGAUGCUUCCAUGAUAAAGAACACCCGAAGAAAUUCAUGACCACCAAACCAGCACCCUAAAAGGUUUUGAAGGGAUCUAGAAAGAGACAGUGAAGACUACAAUUACAUGAACCCCAACAGAAUGAAUAAGCCAGACAUGCAAGUAAUUAAAAGGAAAGAGAGGGAACAGACAAAAGGAAAAUAACAUGUCAAAGAUAAGUCAAUACAUAUCAGUUAAAACCAUCAGUGUAAAUUGUCUCAAUUCAUCAAUCAAAUGAAACAGACUGGCAGAGUGGAUCAGGAAACAAGAUCCAACAAUUUAUUUCCAACAAUAAACAUAUUUAACUCAAAAAGAAAUUUAUAGACUGAAAGUCAAAGGAUGAAGGACAAUACUUUGUGUAACAGGAACCCAGAAAAAAAGCAGAGAUAGCUACUCCAUUAGCAGACUAAGUGGAAUUCAAGCCAAAACUGAUCAGAAG